rnacentral:rRNA from 1 species
AGUGAACGCUGGCGGUAGGCCUAACACAUGCAAGUCGAACGGCAGCACAGUAAGAGCUUGCUCUUACGGGUGGCGAGUGGCGGACGGGUGAGGAAUACAUCGGAAUCUACUUUUUCGUGGGGGAUAACGUAGGGAAACUUACGCUAAUACCGCAUACGACCUACGGGUGAAAGCAGGGGAUCUUCGGACCUUGCGCGAUUGAAUGAGCCGAUGUCGGAUUAGCUAGUUGGCGGGGUAAAGGCCCACCAAGGCGACGAUCCGUAGCUGGUCUGAGAGGAUGAGCAGCCACACUGGAACUGAGACACGGUCCAGACUCCUACGGGAGGCAGCAGUGGGGAAUAUUGGACAAUGGGCGCAAGCCUGAUCCAGCCAUACCGCGUGGGUGAAGAAGGCCUUCGGGUUGUAAAGCCCUUUUGUUGGGAAAGAAAAGCAGCAGGUUAAUACCCCGCUGUUAUGACGGUACCCAAAGAAUAAGCACCGGCUAACUUCGUG